GCCGGGAUGGUGGAAUCGGUAGACACGCAAGACUUAAAAUCUUGUGACCUUUACGGGUCGUGCGGGUUCAAGUCCCGCUCCUGGUA
rnacentral:tRNA from 1 species